UACGGAGGGGGCUAGCGUUGUUCGGAAUUACUGGGCGUAAAGCGCGCGUAGGCGGCUUUGUAAGUUAGAGGUGAAAGCCCGGAGCUCAACUCCGGAAUUGCCUUUAAGACUGCAUCGCUAGAAUCAUGGAGAGGUGAGUGGAAUUCCGAGUGUAGAGGUGAAAUUCGUAGAUAUUCGGAAGAACACCAGUGGCGAAGGCGACUCACUGGACAUGUAUUGAACGCGUGAGGUGCGAAAGCGUGGGGAGCAAACAGG
rnacentral:rRNA from 1 species